CCUACGGGAGGCAGCAGUGAGGAAUAUUGGUCAAUGGACGAGAGUCUGAACCAGCAAAGUAGCGUGAAGGAUGACUGCUCUAUGGGUUGUAAACUUCAUCAAUAAAGGAAUAAAACGAGGCACGUGUGCAUUUUUGCAUGUACUUUAUGAAUAAGGAUCGGCUAACUCCGUGCCAGCAGCCGCGGUAAUACGGAGGAUCCGAGCGUUAUCCGGAUUUAUUGGGUUUUAAGGGAGCGUAGAUGGGUUGUUAAGUCAGUUGUGAAAGUUUGCGGCUCAACCGUAAAAUUGCAAUUGAUACUGGCAGUCUUGAGUACAGGUGAGGUAGGCGGAAUUCGUGGUGUAGCGGUGAAAUGCUUAGAUAUCACGAAGAACCCCGGUUGCGAAGGCAGCUUACUAAACUGUGACUGACAUUGAUGCUCGAAAGUGUGGGUAUCAAACAGGAUUAGAUACCCUUGUAGUC
rnacentral:rRNA from 1 species